GAGAAACUAUCAGACGCCCUAGGUAGUUUCGUCACAUGGCCAUAUGCUUGGGUCCGAUUCACUAACAUGCAAAAGAGUCCAAAGGGAUCUUGUAGAGAGGUCGGUUCCUCAACAAAGGUGUCGACUGGGUCAAAGUCGAUGCCAAGCACUCCAAUUUUGACUGAUGAGGAGCUAAAAGAUCUCUCUUAAGAUUGCAAAUGGCUGCAUUAUUGUGCAUCUCGCAUAAGUGAGGAGGACCCAAUCAUGUUGCCCCUGCUGAAGGAGCAAUACUGCUUUUCAGAAGACCCGUAUGUAAUUAUUGGUCCUAGUGACAUCGGGCAAUUUUUGAGAGGAGAGAUGCUGAACGUAGCUCUUUUCCAUGUCUACAUGAGUGCGGUUUACGAGGAGGUAAAUUCUUGCGAACCUCCAAUAAAAAUUGGAUGGUUUUGUCCGGAGACGAUUUCGGGUAGUAAAUGUAGAAAUGAUCCAGAUGUCGUCAGAGCAUACAUUGAGACUGCUUUGACUAAUU